rnacentral:rRNA from 1 species
UGGGGAAUUUUGGACAAUGGGCGAAAGCCUGAUCCAGCAAUGCCGCGUGUGUGAAGAAGGCCUUCGGGUUGUAAAGCACUUUUGUCCGGAAAGAAAUGGCUCUGGUUAAUACCUGGGGUCGAUGACGUUACCGGAAGAAUAAGGACCGGCUAACUACGUGCCAGCAGCCGCGGUAAUACGUAGGGUCCAAGCGUUAAUCGGAAUUACUGGGCGUAAAGCGUGCGCAGGCGGUUGUGCAAGACCGAUGUGAAAUCCCCGAGCUUAACUUGGGAAUUGCAUUGGUGACUGCACGGCUAGAGUGUGUCAGAGGGGAGUAGAAUUCCACGUGUAGCAGUGAAAUGCGUAGAGAUGUGGAGGAAUACCGAUGGCGAAGGCAGCCCCCUGGGAUAACACUGACGCUCAUGCACGAAAGCGUGGGGAGCAAACAGG